CUUUUUCUUGCUCUUUUACUCUUUUUUUCUUUCUUUUUCCCUUUCUUUUUUUUUCUUUUCUUCCGAG
rnacentral:ribozyme from 13 species